rfam:Schistosoma haematobium scaffold509_18, whole genome shotgun sequence.
AUCCAGCAGACGAGUCCCGAAUAAAACGAAACGCGCUUCCUGGAU